GCCGUCGUAGCUCAGUGGUAGAGCACCGCCAUGGUAAGGCGGGGGUCCCGGGUUCAAAUCCCGGCGACGGCUCCA
rnacentral:tRNA from 3 species